CGCCCCAGAAAACGCGGCACACGCUUUUGAGGCUUUCGCAAGAGAUUCAACUGAGUCACUGAAAGAGCAGCGAUGUUGUCGGAUCAAACUCCACGCUGCGGACAUCCCUCUUGGGGCACAGAAGGUACCAAUAUUAGGGCCACCCUACCCAGGGCUGAAGCCAGUCACGUUUGUUCUGAGAGAAAUGAAAAGCUGGAAAAUACGGAGUAAAGAAAAGCUCAAUGAAAUGUGGAGUUUUCACAUGCAUAUGAAGCAACUGAAAAUACCACGGCUUGGGUGAGGUGGACCUUAGUCCUCAGAGUGACAUCUUUGCUUUUCAACACUCGAAAGAGGUCUUUUGUUGGAUUUCCUGACUGCUGCUUCCCUGGAAGUUGAUUGUGGAUGAUAGAUGGAGACUUGGUGGCUCAGUGGUUAAGAGGUACAGCCGCAAACCAGAGACUGUGUGGGCAGCUUCUAUCUGGAGUUCAUUUCAUAGGCCUGUCUAAUCUUUGGCUGAAAGGUGGACUUUGGAAUCGACUCACUUUGGAUGCAUUGUCGGGAAAGUCCAAUCUUGAGAAGGAUAUCAUGUUUGGCAGAGGGCCAGUGAAAACAAGGGACACCUUUAUUGACACAAUGGCUGCAGCAGUGGACUCCAGCAUGUCAUCGAUCAUGAAGAUGGCACAGGGCUGGCAACGUUUUGUUCUGUUAUACAUUAGGUUGCCAAGAGUCGGAGCUGAUUCCAUGGCAACUAACAACAGCAAGAAGGCUAUUUUAUAACUCUUUGUCAGAGUAGAGGGAUCCCUGGGUGGCUUGUUGAAAACUGACAGUAAUACAAAUGAUUCUUGUCCAAAGCACUGCAAAUGAACUUUGUUCCAUAGAGAUGUCACCUAUAGGGUAUUAACCAGUUCUGCAUGUAUUAAUUAGCAACUUCAUGUCAGCCUUUCUGUAUAUCUCUUCUAUAUCUAUAUUUCUGUUCUUCAAAUUCUGCUUUCACCUAGUCUUAACAUCUUAUUGGUUCCCUCAGAAUUAAUGAGUUGAAUAAAAUCUUUGAUCUAUGUUCAUUUUAUAUUUGCAUGAGAGUCAUGCUUUUAAGCUUUUGAAAAUUAUACUUUAGAGAUAAAAAGAAUGAGGACACAAUUGGCAGGAUUCUGAAAUGAUUUCAUUGUAGUGGAAAGCUGGAAAAAGGUAAAAGUCUCUUCAGUGAUACUUUUGCUCCCCUGCCCUGUUCUUUCCCUAUUUUACCACCAGUUUGUUUCAGUUUUUUAUAAGACAGAAAAUCGAUGCUAAUAACCCCAUAACAUAAAUGAUCCAUAAUUUACACCGUAACAGAAUUAAAUAAAAGAACAAAACCUCGAAACACUCUCUAAUUAGCUCUGAAAAGUGACUGAUCUAUAGUGGAUACAGAAUCUGCAUUUUGUUUCAAUAAUAAGCUUCUUAAGUAGAAAGAGAAGGAUUUUGACAAAUUAAAGAACUUUCGUACAGUAUGUUGUACCUUCGUAAACAUAAUGGUACAAGUUACAGUAUUCUUUCUGAGAUUCCAGGAUUUGACCUGAAAAUGUUUUCUUUGCAUAUUCAGCUGUCUCUGAACAAAUAAGAGUAGGAUACCUCCUCUUAUCCUGGUAUAUAUAUUUUUUGUUGUUGUAAAAAUGUAUAUAACACAACGUUGGCAAAUUGCACACUGGUCUGAUUUCUGAUUGUUACUCACCAGAAUAUAUCGCUAGCCUCCCUCUUUCACUUCUUCAUAGCUACUGACGUUAACAUUUUUUUCCUCCUAGAUUUUCUUUCAAAUAUGUGUUGAUUAUCACAUUAUUUAAUCUUUCUCCCUAAUUACAUAAACAUGUGUAAGACUAUGCAUGUCACAGUUAUUUUGUUACAUAUGCAUAUAAAUCCAUAGCUUCAUUGAAAGCAAAACCAAAUGUUUAAUUCCCCUCAUAUCACAGAAAAUGCUAUGAAAUGAAGAGAGGAAAAGUUUCCGUGAGCCUCUAGAGCUGGGCUCUCCAAUAUAGUAGCCACCAGCCAUAAGUGGUGUUAUGGAUUGAAUUGUGUCCCCCCAAAAGUGUGUGCCAGCUUGCCUAGACCACAAUUCCCAGUAUUGUGUGAUUGUCCACCAUUUUGUCAUCUGAUGUGAUUUUCCUAUAUGUUGUAAAUCCUACCUCUAUGAUGUUAAUGAGUGGGAUUAGCGGCGGUUAUGUUAAUGAGGCAGGACUCAAUCUACAAGAUUAGGUUGUGUUUUAAGUCGAUCUCUCUCGAGAUAUAAAAAGAGAGAAGCAAGCAGAGAGACACGGACACCUCAUACCACCAAGAAACGAGCUAGGAGAAUAGCACGUCUUUUGGACCUGGGGUCCCUGUGCUGAGAAGUUCCUCGACUGGGGAAGAUUGAUGACAAGUUCCUUUCCCCAGAGCCGACAGAGAAAGAAAGCCUUCCCUGGAGCUGGUGCCCUGAAUUCAGAAAUCUAGCCUCCUAGACUGUGAGCAAAUAAAUUUCUCUUCAUUAAAGCCAUCCACUUGUGAUAUUUGUUAUAGCAGCACUAGUUGACUAAGACAUGUGGCUAUUUAGGUUUAAACUAAUUAAAAUAUUAAAAAAUUAAAAUUCAGUUUCUUACUCACAUAGCCACUUUUCAGUUGCUCAAUAGCCGCGUUUGGCUAGUGGCUGCUGCAGGGAACGAUGCACAUAGAGAACAUUUCCAUCUUCACAGAAAGCUCUGUUGCGGAGUGCAACCUUAGAGACCACAGUUGGAACGCACAUAAUUAUGACUCUGUGAUCAAUAUAAUCAUAUCUUGUAAAUCUUUAUUUUACUCUCCGAAGUUUCCUUUGAUAAACAACCACCACAUUGAAUUACAGUGCUCUCUUUAGCAUGGACAUCUGUGAGGAAGAUAAAAGCUAGACCUUUUUCAGCUAAUCAUGUGCGUCGUAAAAGAGCUCAGACCAGAUUUCUGAAAAGAUGGGAGCACCUGUAUGGAAGGCCCUAGACACUCUAUGAGUUGUAAUUGUUCAGUUGUGAUGAUGGUGGGAAAAUGCAUGUCAGGAGCAGUGGUGGUGAAUGUGUAGAGAACAGAGCAUUGAUGCCCACAGAACUUGUGGGCUGGAGCAUUUGAGACUCGAUUAUCUAGAAUUUAAUAAUUUAAAAAUUGGAAAGAAGACUUUAGGUUAAAUAAGACUUACUGAAGGUUUUUUGUUUUACUGAAGGUAAGCAUAUAUCUCUUCCAAAACGUCAUUAAAAUGAUAGUAAAUGGGAUUGAAAGGCUAUAAACCCACAAAGAGAACAGGAAGGUAGAAAACAGCAGACUAGACGUUAAUAAUGUUUUAGAAGACGGUAUGGAAUGGACACUGAUCUAGAAGAUUAAAAAAAGUACAAGUCUAAAGAGAUUCAGGGGAGCCUUAGUCACACAAAGCUGAGAAAUGUCUUGAGAAUUGGAGGUCCCAGUUUCCUCUGAAGGCAAGGUUGAGACAUGGAGAAAACUAAGAAUUUCCUGAAAGUUCAGAGAGCACUCCAGGUCCGUUUUCCCACAUGCAUAGUCAGGAAAAUGGGGAAAGUGACUAGCUCAAGAAAAAUGAUCUACAUAAGCUGACAUUUGGGGUUCCCUCAGUGAAAAAUCCAGCUCAAUACCUUGUCCCUACAGUGAGCUAACCAAUGAAUACAUACCAUUCAUGCAAGGCACACACAGCUUCCAAUCAGCUUUUUAGUGACUCAUUCUGAAAUACGAGUGGGCCACAGUACCUCAGGACACCUGGA